CAACAAUAGAAAUCCUAGGAAUUCCAAUAAAAAUCAAUAGAGAAGAGGAGCUUCACAAAAGGCGAAUCUUUUGAAUCAAUCAAAGCAAGAGAGAAGAGAAGCUCCAAAGAUGAGACGGAAGUCAAAUCGCCAAGACAAGAAGAAAAUAUCAGUAACUUCCGAUCGCCAUGGAGAAGCAAAUAGAGAAGAAGCGACACAAAGGGCAAGUCUUUUCGAGCAAAGCAAUAGAGAAGCGACGCAAAAGGCAAAUCUUUUCAAUCAAAUUAGCAUUAGAGACGCGACACAAAAGCUUUGUCUUUUCAGAUGCCAACAGAAGAAGAAGAAGAAAUCAGUACCUCCCAAUCAAAUUCGCAAAGGGAAGAGAGUUGUGAAUCAGUCGAAGUAUACAAAGCUGAUGGAUAUUGACGAUCAGGUAUUCUUUCUUUGAAACAACAAAAGUAGCAGUCGUUGGCCUUGGCUGGUCUUCUCUACCAAAUCAAGGACAUGGAAAUUCACUUCCAAGAGGAAAUCAUUAUGGACAUUCUUAGCAAGUUACCUGUGCAGUCUCUUCUUCGAUUCAAAUGUGUUUCACGAUUUUGGAAGAAAUUAAUUUCUGAGCCUUACUUUAUGAUGAAGCAUCUCAAUCAUGCCAAGAAUAACCAAAAUUCUCAAAAAUUUCUUGUUUGCCAACUAUGCCCUAAGGAUGGUAUGAUUUCCUUUUACUGUUCUUCUUUAUCGUCAGUUCAACCGGUCGAGGACGUCCAAAGACUUGAUUGUCCUUCAGACUUUAAACCAUGGCGAUGCGGAAUCUUUUGUUGUUUCGAUGGCUUGUCUCUUAUUGGGGUUCAUGAUUAUCCUGACAUAGAUCUCAUAUGUUUGCUAUGGAACCCCUCCACAAGAGAAUCAAUAGUACUUCCCAUGCAGAAUGUCCAGUGAAGGGAAAUCAUGCUUACGGAAUGGGAUAUGACUCAACUAGUGAUGAUUAUAAGAUCCUUAAGAUUGACGUUGACAUUGAUGAUGGUCGCAAAGUAUCUAGUGAAAUUCUCGCGCUGAAAAAUGUCUCCCGGAGAAAAAUUGAUAGACAUCCUAGCGACAUUUGCUAUGUGUUGUCUGGUGGGAACUCUUUGGCAUUUGUACAUGGAGCAUUUCAUUGGCUGGGUUUUUCACAAAAUUAUUCAAUGGUUUCAUUUAGUAUUUCAAAUGAGGUGUACAAAGAGAUACAAUUGCCGGAGCAAAUUUGUUUGGGAUCGAUGUACAACAAGUUUGACGUUUCAGUAUUGGAAGGAAUGCUUUGUGUUUAUUCUACUUCUAUUCGGAAGCAGAGCACCUUUUCGUUUUGGCUAAUGAAAGACUAUGGUGUCAAAGAAUCUUGGACUAAAUUAUUUACUAUACGAGAUACCGAGAUUUAUUUAGCCAUACCAAAAUAUAGGUUUGCCGAUGGUGAAGUGUUGCUUCGCUGCAUACACGCUGAGAGUUGUGGUCCUUUAUUUAGGACAUCCAAAGGACCAUUUGGAUUGUGGCCUCAAGGUGAUAUCUUUCAGGAUGGAUUCGUUUUUACGGAAAGCUUGAUCUCUCCAAAAUUACUUACCUAGUAUUUGCUUGUCUGUUUGGGGAGUAUUUGCUUAUUUAUGAUCGGGACACUUUUCUCCUUUUUCAGAAAUCAUGUUACAUCUUGUUAUUCUUAUAAGUUUAUGUAUUGCUAGCUAAGUUUUGGUACCAAAAUGUAGGGUGUCAAUGGUUAUCUGAAAACGGAUCAAACCGUUCGACCUGAUUGUUAGGUUUUUCCAAUGAAAUUGUAGGUUUUAAUAUAAAUUCAUAAUUGUACCAAA